rnacentral:rRNA from 1 species
AGGGCCUUCUCUUCGGAGACAGAGGAGACAGGUGGUGCAUGGUUGUCGUCAGCUCGUGUCGUGAGAUGUUGGGUUAAGUCCCGCAACGAGCGCAACCCUUGCUUCUAGUUGCCAGCAUUAAGUUGGGCACUCUAGAGGGACUGCCGGUGAUAAACCGGAGGAAGGUGGGGAUGACGUCAAAUCAUCAUGCCCUUUAUGUCCUGGGCUACACACGUGCUACAAUGGUCGGUACAGAGGGCAGCGACCUAGCGAUAGGAAGCGAAUCCCACAAAGCCGAUCCCAGUUCGGAUUGCAGGCUGCAACUCGCCUGCAUGAAGCCGGAGUUGCUAGUAAUCGUGGAUCAGAAUGCCACGGUGAAUGCGUUCCCGGGUCUUGUACACACCGA